GUUGAACCGGUCGAAGAUACCAGCUGGCUGCAACUGUUUAUUAAAAACACAGCACUCUGCAAACACGAAAGUGGACGUAUAGGGUGUGAUGCCUGCCCGGUGCUGGAAGGUUAAUUGAUGGUGUCAUUGAAAGAGAAGCACCUGAUCGAAGCCCCAGUAAACGGCGGCCGUAACUAUAACGGUCCUAAGGUAGCGAAAUUCCUUGUCGGGUAAGUUCCGACCUGCACGAAUGGCAUAAUGAUGGCCAGGCUGUCU
rnacentral:rRNA from 1 species